CCGGGGUUGGUGCAAAGGCCCUGGGGUUUGGGUGUCAGACUCACCAGGUUUGAAUCUCUGCUUGCCCUCCUAGCUGGGUGACCUCAGACAGGGUCUUGGGCUGUUGCCCAGGCU